rnacentral:rRNA from 1 species
AAUCUUCCACAAUGGGCGCAAGCCUGACCCAGCAACGCCGCGUGAAGGAAGAAGGCUUUCGGGUUGUAAACUUCUUUUCUGAGGGACGAAGCAAGUGACGGUACCUUAGGAAUAAGCCACGGCUAAUUACGUGCCAGCAGCCGCGGUAAUACGUAGGUGGCAAGCGUUAUCCGGAUUUACUGGGUGUAAAGGGCGUGUAGGCGGGACUGCAAGUCAGAUGUGAAAACCAUGGGCUCAACCUGUGGCCUGCAUUUGAAACUGUAGUUCUUGAGUACUGGAGAGGCAGACGGAAUUCCUAGUGUAGCGGUGAAAUGCGUAGAUAUUAGGAGGAACACCAGUGGCGAAGGCGGUCUGCUGGACAGCAACUGACGCUGAGGCGCGAAAGCGUGGGGAGCAAA